CCGCGCUCCCCCCGCGCCGCCGCCCGGCCUCACGGGCCGGCUCCGCCGCUUCCGCCUUCCCCAUGCUGCCGGCGGCGGCGGCGGUCAGAGGGCAGAGGGCAGGGUUCACCCCCUCCCCGCGGCCGGCGGGCGGGCGGUGCUUCCCUUCCUUUCCCCUUCCCUUUUCCCCGGCGGCGGUGCCCGGCCGGGGCGGAAGGGAACGGCCGGCAUUGGGCUGGAUUCCGCCUGAGCGCCGCAGCUCCCUCCGUUCAGCGCUUUGUAGAGCGGAGGGAGAGCUCUGCGCCGCGGGAGUAUUCUUCGUUGCUUGAAGUCUAGACUGAGCAUGAUGCACUCGUCAAAUCAAAACAAGAAAUGCAUUUUAGGAAGGAAUAGGAAAUGGACUGGCAGUGUGCAAGAAGGUGCAUUACCUAUCGUUAAUGGAGAGAAAGUAUGGGAAGCUGGGAGCACCAACACUAGAGAACAAACAGAGUGCAAAUAAACACUGUUUUGAGACCAGCAACUCCAGCUUUGUUGGCUUUUCUUCAAUGUUCUGGCCCUUCUUUUCUAGCUGUCUUCUUCUAGUCCUACACAGGUAGAGAGAGGCAAGGAAAAGGACAAUGCAGAGAGUGAUACAGGAGCUACAAGACUUCCUCACGGAGAAAUACUUCUUAUUGUGAUGUAGCUCUAAGAAUACGCUUUGGAAUUCAGCUUCAAAAGUAAUAUUCUGAGCUCAAAAAUCUUCUGAAA
rnacentral:lncRNA from 1 species